AUCCUAUAAUCCCAGGAGGACCACCAGUGGGGAAAGCUGUUUAUCAGAACCCGUUUAACGGUGAGGGAUGAAAACUUGGGGAACAAACCGGAUUAGAUACCCGGUUAGUCCCAACUGUAAACGAUGCAGUCUAGGUGUUGUUAUGGCCACUUUCCCCUCCAGUUCCGCAGGGAAACUGUUAAUUUUCCCCCCUUGGGAGUACGGUCGCAAGUCUGAAACUUAAAGGAAUUGGCGGGGGAGCACCACAAGGCGU
rnacentral:rRNA from 1 species